rnacentral:lncRNA from 1 species
UUAAAAUUCUUCAAACAUUUAUUUAUAUAAAAUUAUUCAGAAACAUAAAAAGGUUAAAAAAAACAAAAACAAACUGCGUUAUAUACAGCAAUAUUGCACAGGAAAAGUGGCAAUUACCCUGUCAAAAUAAUCAGUGCAAAAUGCAAGAAAGCCAGGGAAAAUUGCAUGACAUUAAAAAUGCUACAUAAAUGCUGGGUCCUAUGAAAAGACAUUAGUGAUUAAUUAGAAUGAGUGCUUCUGUUUCAUAUAACACCCAUGCCCUAAAUCAACAUGCUUUUUAUACAGUAACCAACAAGUUGGUUGAUUAAAAAAAAUAAAAAGUACAUUUUAAAAUAAACAACUAAUGGAGAAAUACAGAAAGAAACCAUUAACACCUUUUUAUUUUUACAUCGUCAGGGUUGUAAUAAACAUUAAUGCGUUUUCAUAAGAGAGUACCACUCAAUAGCAUAUACAAACAGGGGUAGUGCGAGUUGUAUUUUCAAAGGUAUGUUACAUUUAUAGUUUACUAAUCAUUUGCGUGCCUGAGUAAUGCCUUGACUUACAUACAGGCAGAGGACUGAACAAGCCUAGACACUGCUAGUUUUAGACCAGAUCAUCAACAACCAUAUAAUAUUGCCAGAGUUGUAACACCCCACCAACACCCAAAAAAUUGAGAAUACCCUAAACUCCUCAAGUAUUCUUGGAGUUUGACAACUCGUUCUGUGCCACACUGAAUGACUUUAAGCACCUUCUCAAACCACAGCUGUUGACCAAUCAGGAGUCAGCUGACAUAGGCAUAUUGAGAGUUACUUAUAUGGAAAAUCCCAUAGAGUUAUGGUGGUGUACUAGAGGGGGUUUUGGGUCUCUACUGAUUGUAUCUGAAAGAUCUAUUCCGGGUUCUCUGCAUAGUCAGCCUAUUGAUAGGAAGUCUGAUUUUUUUUUUUUUAUUCCAGAGUAAGUUCAAUGUAAUGUCUACCGCAAACUGCUAAAGUAUGUAACAGUAUACAUACCAGGGGACCUUAACUUUCCAGAGAAGAGAAGCACUAUAAAAAUGGCAAAAGCAUGGAAUUUCAAGGUCCAAUUGCCUAACCCAGCGACAAAACCCUAAAACGUGGUGUUUUGUGAAUUGGCAAAGCAAACCAAUACACUACAGUACAGGUUUACUGGAGAUAAAGGAAUACUUUACACCUGACCUCGUGGAACAAUUGAGUUAUACAGUAAGGACAACCUGCAUUAGGACUGGGACAAGUACUCUUAGCAAACCAAGAUAUUUUAAACUGGGCAAGUUAUCCUAUAUCUAAAGCUAGUUACAAAAUGUGUGUUGCAGGAAAAGACAGAAAAAAAAAUUUUUUUUUUUCAAAAGUGCAAAUUAUUAAAAGUAGUCAGUUUGGAUUGAACUCUCAGGAUUCAUUCCAAAAGGAGGGGAAAAAAAAUACAUAAAAUAAAAACAAAAUCAGGACACUUAUAAAGUCUGUAGUAGUGCAAUCAUUAUCAUCAUACCACAGCUUCGAAGCAGUGGGUUUUGUUUUGUUUUUGCAGACGGGGUUUAGUAGGACCCCCAUGGGCUUCAGUAGCUUUGGUGUUUUGUUGAUCACUCAAUCCCACCAAGCCUAUGUGUUCAAACACCGUCACAAUGUUAGAGAGCUAGAUCUCUGAUUUUGGCUCUGUUUAUUUUACAUUACCACAUACAUACAUACAAACAAACAUUCCAUAUACCAGAAUGACCCAUCAUUAUAGGAGAACAGCCAUAGAGUCUGCAACAUGCACAGAGAAAGUCAAUAAGCAAUAUGGACUGCACAAGUAGUAUAUGCACAAAAUGUUUUUAAAAUAGCUGAAUUGAGAUUUUGCUUUUAAAUUGGUAUACACAGUCUAGCAGUGUGAUUUUACUGGACAGGUUUCUUGACAAUAAGAAUUUUAAAACUGGAUUCUGGUUCUGCAAUUUUUAAUCCAAUUUAUCAACUCAAUUCAGCCAAACAUUUAAGGUUAUUGUAAUAAAUUUCCCAAGCCCAGUGUAAAGAUUUACACCUACCUGAAGCCUACAAGUUAUCAAAUUUGUUUUGCAGGUGAUGGGUGCAUUGUAAAGCCUUCUUGAAAGCCCUCAUCUAUGAUUUCAGUAAACUGAACAAACCAGGUUAGUUUAAAUGGAAGACUUUUCGAAAAAUCGCACCCGGUUCACUUUAUGGAUUUUAAGCAAAUUCCAUAAUGUAUAUAUGAAGAAUUGAAUGAAGGUCCAUAAUACCAGAGGUGAACAAGAUGAGUAGUAAGAUCAACAUCUACUACCAAGAGAAAAUUGUACAUAAAGACAAAUACACAUAUAUAGUAAAAAAUAAAAAAAAUUACAAAAUUCACGGACGCGAUCAAUGGCAAAGAGUGAAAUAUAGCCCUCAUGUUUAGAUUAACACGGUGUAUAAAAACUAUCAAUUGCCGCAUUAAGGGAUUGUCAUAACAGAUGACCAGUGUUGUUCCUUCAGACAGCCCAGCAUAAGGACUAAAGUCUCUAUUAAUAAGCUUUCUAAAGGAUUGUAUACGGUUAGAAGGAUGGGGGGGAAACAUAAAAUAAAAACAAACACACACAACUUUCAAAAUGUUUUAUCUACAGAAAACACCAUUAAAAGUCUAUGGAGUUUUUUUUUUUUUUUGUAGUUAAAUCAUUUCCAAAGAUUUUCCAACAGUGAGCAUUUGGAAAGCUUAUUAAAUGAAGGCCAAAUGUUUCAUAUAGACAACCCUAUAAAAUAGCAAACAUGAAAAAAUUAAAAAAUUCAUUUUUUUUUUUUUUUUUUUAAAGUUGUUCAAUGAGUAUUUUAGGUACUUAAAGAUGUACAAUUAGGGGAGGCCACUCUUUAGGAGAGCUGCCCCACAAAGGUAUCUUUUAGAGGAAAACUAAAUACAAACUCUAUAAAGUGCCUUGAAAUACGAAUUAAUUUUUUUUUUUUUUAAAUAUAUAAACACAAAAGUCAGACCUUUGGCGUCAUUUGUAACAGGAUGUUGAAAUAGGCAAUUAAUAUGCCUAUACUACCUACCAGAAGAAAAGUAUUGCCUGAGCAAAUCCUAAGUUAAAACACAAAGAUUGUGAAAACUAAAGAGCGUGUGGGGAGGGGAACUUAAAAAUGGAAAAUUAAAUAACAUGAAAAGCCAUAAAUAUACAUCUUCAGAAAGUAUACAGAAGAGCUAAUUACAGUAAAUUUACAGUAUGUACAGUAGUUUUCAGAGUGGCCUGCGCACAUUGCACUCUUCUCUGGCAGACAACAUUUUAAAGAACUUCCACUAUUUAGAUAAGUUUUUUGUCUUUUUACAAAUUUAGUUUUAACUUUUAUUUUUUAACGCUUACUAGCCAGAGUGGACUGAAAUGUGUAUCGGAACCCUAUGGUGCAGAAGUGGUAAAGGAUUACAGUCUCAAGGUUUGAAAUGGAAGGAGAGGUGGACAAACUUAAUGAAGUAAGAGAUUCAAUGGAUCAAAAAAUAAGAUUUGGCUCAGUUAUCAUUAACAGAAAAUAAAUACACCAGUAUUUACAGUAACACAACAAGGUAACUAAUGGCUUUGAAAUCACAGAUUACUUACUUUUACAUUUUCCCCAAGACAAGAGGGGAAAAUAAAAAAAUGAAAAUGGAGGGGGGAAAAAGAAAAGAAAAUCAUAAAUAUAGGCAGGAAGUACAUAUCAUAAUAAGCAGAAAACAAGACUGUGCAAUUACAGGGUUAAAAACGUCCUUCUCUGUAUAUUUGAAAGAUGUUGAAAUACUGAGAUUACCCAGACCUAACAAUGCUACAGACUAUAGCUAUGUGAAUGAAGACCUUAUUCAGAACAGUAACUAAGAAACACAUUGACUGAAUUAUUACCAAGAAUGAAGAUCCUUGCACUUAGAACCAUUUUAAAUGUUGUCACAUCAAUAUAUCUGUUGGAAUGCAUACCUCCAAACUUUGGUGUUUGAUGAAGCGGGACGCUGAUGAGAAAGGUUAAAGGUCUGCACGGAAAAGGGGCAUACGCACACCAGGCAUCCUGUCAUUCAAGUAGACCAGCCCUCCGGUGGACUACAAAGAUUUAAUUAUCUGUGUGGGUCCUGAGCAUAUCGAUUGAUGCACUCGCACUGUGCUUGCUGGGGAACUGUUCCCUGGUGUCCCCAAUAGUGGGAAAACAAGCAAAGCUGGGAUAGGGUAGGAAACUAGCAACAGACAUGUUUUUAGAUCAACUGGCUUAUUAGGGAAUUGUUAAGGCUCUUCCAAAAUGAUGUGAAAUGUUAAGGCAUUGUGCCACUCAUUCUAAUGAGUAACAAGUUUGCGGUCAUUUUAUUAUUUUACUGCAUUUUGUAGAUUGUAUUAAAUAUGUUGCUGUGAAAGUUAAUCUGAGCAUAUUAUCGUUUAAGUCAGAUGUCAUGGACUGGUGAUUUUAUGCACAUAAAAAAAAAAAAAUAAUAAAAUGCCUUUUUAUUGUUAUAGAAAAAUUCCCUUCUACUACAAAAUGCUCCAAUACUUUAAAAGAACAAUGCUUUUAGAUUUACACUGAUCCAGACAGCCCACUACUCUGUGAUUUCCCAGUAACAAUUGGCAUAAAACCAGUUGUAUCCCAACUGAAGAGUCAUCUCUUCUAUGUAUGGUAAUCUAAGUUACGGUUGCAGCCCAACAUACUAUAGGAUUAAAAGCACCAACCACUUUGACUCAUUGGUACAGAUUAAACAUUAUAGCUCUGGUAUACUUUGUAGCAUUCAUUAAUAAAGUGGCACAAGUGCAUUAAGGCACUGAGAAGUGAUCUCAAGAAACAAAUAAAAAUAAAAAUUGAGAUUGCCACAUAACCUGUGCACAAGAUACUAUCCACACAAAGCAUUUGCAGAACUAGUACCAGUAACUCCAACAAUUACUGGAGACGUUCUGCAUUGAGGGUGGUGCUAUCAAUGUAACAAUAUGACUGAUCUUCUCAAAGGACUGACCAACUGCCCACUCCCUUAGCAGGUGAUGAGAAGUUGACAAACCCAGUACCGAGCAUACCAACUUGGCAAGCAACCACCACAAACCUUGAGGAGAAUGUAGAAGGAAAACCAGACCUGAUGCAUAUAUUAUAUGGACAAUGAUUAUCUCAGAGAAAUAUAAAAUAAAAAAGCAGGAAUAUUUAAAGUUGUUAAGCACAUGAUAGAUAAAAGAAUGCUAUAUUAAUUUCUUUGGUUUUUUUUUUUGCAAAAAGGCACACGUAUGUAUAAAUGGAAGAUUCGGAGCAUAAAAUGCAAGGCAGACAAUAUUUCCUAACGGACCUCUCUCAUUCAGACCGAUGGACAAACUUUAUAGAAGAAAAGUUCACAUGGAAUUUAGAUCAAUGGAUUUAAGUUUGUCUUAACUUAAUCUUUGCUGAAAGUAUUUUAGUGUGGGUAGUUUAGAACAGAAUUAAAUACAAAGUAUCUUUGGCAAAACAAGCCCUUAUUUAAAAUAAUCCACACCAACACCUUGGAGCUCUGUAGAGCGGCUCUAUGACUCUAAACGCGGCCUGGUGUCAGAUUGACCCACAUAAAACAAACGCGUCCAGUGCUAUUUUAUUCUCCAGACUCUGGAAUAUUGAGAUGGUCUUAAUUAAGAAAAAAAAAAUUCAUCAGGUAAACUAAUGGAGAUAAGCAUGAC